rnacentral:tRNA from 6 species
GGGGCAUUGGCGCAGUUGGUAGCGCGACUCGUUCGCAUCGAGUAGGUCAGGGGUUCGAUUCCCCUAUGCUCCA